GCUAUACUGCAGUCGAGCGGACAGAUGGGAGCUUGCUCCCUGAUGUUAGCGGCGGACGGGUGAGUAACACGUGGGUAACCUGCCUGUAAGACUGGGAUAACUCCGGGAAACCGGGGCUAAUACCGGAUGGUUGUCUGAACCGCAUGGUUCAGACAUAAAAGGUGGCUUCGGCUACCACUUACAGAUGGACCCGCGGCGCAUUAGCUAGUUGGUGAGGUAACGGCUCACCAAGGCGACGAUGCGUAGCCGACCUGAGAGGGUGAUCGGCCACACUGGGACUGAGACACGGCCCAGACUCCUACGGGAGGCAGCAGUAGGGAAUCUUCCGCAAUGGACGAAAGUCUGACGGAGCAACGCCGCGUGAGUGAUGAAGGUUUUCGGAUCGUAAAGCUCUGUUGUUAGGGAAGAACAAGUGCCGUUCAAAUAGGGCGGCACCUUGACGGUACCUAACCAGAAAGCCACGGCUAACUACGUGCCAGCAGCCGCGGUAAUACGUAGGUGGCAAGCGUUGUCCGGAAUUAUUGGGCGUAAAGGGCUCGCAGGCGGUUUCUUAAGUCUGAUGUGAAAGCCCCCGGCUCAACCGGGGAGGGUCAUUGGAAACUGGGGAACUUGAGUGCAGAAGAGGAGAGUGGAAUUCCACGUGUAGCGGUGAAAUGCGUAAAGAUGUGGAGGAACACCAGUGGCGAAGGCGACUCUCUGGUCUGUAACUGACGCUGAGGAGCGAAAGCGUGGGGAGCGAACAGGAUUAGAUACCCUGGUAGUCCACGCCGUAAACGAUGAGUGCUAAGUGUUAGGGGGUUUCCGCCCCUUAGUGCUGCAGCUAACGCAUUAAGCACUCCGCCUGGGGAGUACGGUCGCAAGACUGAAACUCAAAGGAAUUGACGGGGGCCCGCACAAGCGGGGGACAUGUGGUUUAAUUCGAAGCACGCGAAA
rnacentral:rRNA from 1 species